rnacentral:rRNA from 1 species
GACGAACGCUGGCGGCGUGCUUAACACAUGCAAGUCGAACGGAAAGGCCCUGCUUUUGUGGGGUGCUCGAGUGGCGAACGGGUGAGUAACACGUGAGUAACCUGCCCCUGACUUUGGGAUAAAUUCAGGAAACUGGGGCUAAUACCGGAUAGGAGCUCCUGCUGCAUGGUGGGGGUUGGAAAGAUUCGGCGGUUGGGGAUGGACUCGCGGUUCAUCAGCUUGUUGGUGAGGUAGUGGCUUACCAAGGCUUUGACGGGUAGCCGGCCUGGGAGGGUGACCGGCCACAUUGGGAUGGAGAAACGGCCCAGACUCCUACGGGGGGCAGCAGUGGGAAAUAUUGCACAAUAGGCGGAAGCCUGAUGCAGCAACGCCGCGUGCGGGAUGACGGCCUUCGGGUUGUAAACCGCUUUCGCCUGUGACGAAGCGUGAGUGACGGUAAUGGGUAAAGAAGCACCGGCUAACUACGUG